rnacentral:rRNA from 1 species
UACGGAGGGAGCUAGCGUUGUUCGGAAUUACUGGGCGUAAAGCGCACGUAGGCGGCUUUGUAAGUUAGAGGUGAAAGCCCGGGGCUCAACUCCGGAACUGCCUUUAAGACUGCAUCGCUUGAAUCCAGGAGAGGUGAGUGGAAUUCCGAGUGUAGAGGUGAAAUUCGUAGAUAUUCGGAAGAACACCAGUGGCGAAGGCGGCUCACUGGACUGGUAUUGACGCUGAGGUACGAAAGCGUGGGGAGCAAACAGG